AUAUACUUUGCUUUAUUUACAUGAGACAUGACAAGAGUGCUACAUGUACAGCUUUUAUAUCACUAAGCAACACAAAUUGCAAAGAACUCCCAACAUAUCGGGACCCAUAACAACCUCAUUUAACCACCGUAAACUACAUUCACACUGAAAGAAUCAAAAAUGUACAUUAAUCUCAAAGCAUUUACAAAUUUGAGACCGCAGCCCAGUAAUAAGAAAUGUAAAGACAAGGCACCAUCUUGAUUAGAAUACGUUAGGAUAUUAUUUGUAAGGAACGGAAACACAUUUGUUUGGCUGUUUUUGUCCAUAACUCCAGGUUUAUAAAACAAAGGAAAAGGCAGCAAGUCUUACAUUGUAGGCAAGGUAUGGAAAGUUACGUGAGGAAAAAAACAACUACUUAAAAUAAUAUGCUCUACAUAAGGCAAAAUAUAUUUGGCCAAUGGUAUAAUUACUGUAUGUGCAGGGAGAAAGAAUGUGACAAAUCAGUAGUCCAUUUACAUUAAGUUGUGUAAAAUCCAUGCAAUUCAUUAAAAUCCAUUCACGUCGUCAGAUAAUACACUAUCAAACAUCGUCACUUACCAGUGAAAUAAAUUAAACUCUUAAACAAGUGCAAUUACAAAGCUGCUCUCAAAGGGAAGAACUGUCAAGAGGAGUGGUCAGAGAUAAGUGGCACCUACUCCAGCUAAGGCUCUCUCUGGAGUUUUUUUAAAACACGUCUGAGGCCAAAGAGAAUUUGUCGACAGCCAACACUGCUAUGGCACUUUAAUUCCCUAUUUAUCACUCAUGUCAGUGCUUGCAAGCCAUAGUGUGAACCACCAGAGUGCACUUAAGGCUGCAGCAUGUAGCUUCCUUUACUUCCUACUACCAGUAUAAUGUUAAUCAGCUUUGGCCAGAUACACAUUCUCAUUAUUGUCAGACUAUCAGAGAGCAGAAAGGAAUGGGAAAAACAACACAACGCAGGUAAAGAGACACAACAGUGGUUCAACGCAAAGCAUUAAAAAUAACAUUGAUUCAACAAAAAAAAAAAAAAAAAA